rnacentral:rRNA from 1 species
GAUGAACGCUGGCGGCGUGCCUAAUACAUGCAAGUCGAGCGAACGGACGAGACGCUUGCUUUUCUGAUGUUAGCGGCGGACGGGUGAGUAACACGUGGAUAACCUACCUAUAAGACUGGGAUAACUUCGGGAAACCGGAGCUAACACCGGACAAUAUUUUGAACCGCAUGGUUCAAAAGUGCAAGACGUUCUUGCUGUCACUUAUAGAUGGAUCCGCGCUGCAUUAGCUAGUUGGUAAGGUAACGGCUUACCAAGGCAACGAUGCAUAGCCGACCUGAGAGGGUGAUCGGCCACACUGGAACUGAGACACGGUCCAGACUCCUACGGGAGGCAGCAGUAGGGAAUCUUCCGCAAUGGGCGAAAGCCUGACGGAGCAACGCCGCGUGAGUGAUGAAGGUCUUCGGAUCGUAAAACUCUGUUAUUAGGGAAGAACAUAUGUGUAAGUAACUGUGCACAUCUUGACGGUACCUAAUCAGAAAGCCACGGCUAACUACGUG